rfam:Desulfovibrio sp. 6_1_46AFAA genomic scaffold supercont1.8, whole genome shotgun sequence.
UUUGGCAGCCAUAGAGAAGAGGGUACACCCGAUCCCAUUCCGAACUCGGUAGUUAAGCUCUUCCUCGCCGAUGAUACUGCAUAACGUCAUGUGGGAAAGUAGGCCGCUGCCAAAA